rnacentral:rRNA from 1 species
GACGAACGCUGGCGGCGUGCCUAAUACAUGCAAGUAGAACGCUGAAGGAGGAGCUUGCUUCUCUGGAUGAGUUGCGAACGGGUGAGUAACGCGUAGGUAACCUGCCUGGUAGCGGGGGAUAACUAUUGGAAACGAUAGCUAAUACCGCAUAAUAGUAGAUGUUGCAUGACAUUUGCUUAAAAGGUGCAAUUGCAUCACUACCAGAUGGACCUGCGUUGUAUUAGCUAGUUGGUGGGGUAACGGCUCACCAAGGCGACGAUACAUAGCCGACCUGAGAGGGUGAUCGGCCACACUGGGACUGAGACACGGCCCAGACUCCUACGGGAGGCAGCAGUAGGGAAUCUUCGGCAAUGGACGGAAGUCUGACCGAGCAACGCCGCGUGAGUGAAGAAGGUUUUCGGAUCGUAAAGCUCUGUUGUAAGAGAAGAACGAGUGUGAGAGUGGAAUGUUCACACUUUGACGGUAUCUUACCAGAAAGGGACGGCUAACUACGUG